CCCGAGGAAAAGAAAUCAACCGAGAUUCCCCCAGUAGCGGCGAGCGAACGGGGAGGAGCCCAGAGCCUGAAUCAGCAUGUGUGUUAGUGGAAGCGUCUGGAAAGGCGCGCGAUACAGGGUGACAGCCCCGUACACAAAAGCGCAUGUGCUGUGAGCUCGAUGAGUAGGGCGGGACACGUGGUAUCCUGUCUGAAUAUGGGGGGACCAUCCUCCAAGGCUAAAUACUCCUGACUGACCGAUAGUGAACCAGUACCGUGAGGGAAAGGCGAAAAGAACCCCGGCGAGGGGAGUGAAAAAGAACCUGAAACCGUGUACGUACAAGCAGUGGGAGCACAGGUUUACCUGUGUGACUGCGUACCUUUUGUAUAAUGGGUCAGCGACUUAUAUUCUGUAGCAAGGUUAACCGUAUAGGGGAGCCGGAGGGAAACCGAGUCUUAACCGGGCGUUAAGUUGCAGGGUAUAGACCCGAAACCCGGUGAUCUAGCCAUGGGCAGGUUGAAGGUUGGGUAACACUAACUGGAGGACCGAACCGACUAAUGUUGAAAAAUUAGCGGAUGACCUGUGGCUGGGGGUGAAAGGCCAAUCAAACCGGGAGAUAGCUGGUUCUCCCCGAAAGCUAUUUAGGUAGCGCCUCGUGAAUUCAUCUCCGGGGGUAGAGCACUGUUUCGGCUAGGGGGCCAUCCCGGCUUACCAACCCGAUGCAAACUGCGAAUACCGGAGAAUGUUAUCACGGGAGACACACGGCGGGUGCUAACGUCCGUCGUGAAGAGGGAAACAACCCAGACCGCCAGCUAAGGUCCCAAAGUCAUGGUUAAGUGGGAAACGAUGUGGGAAGGCCCAGACAGCCAGGAUGUUGGCUUAGAAGCAGCCAUCAUUUAAAGAAAGCGUAAUAGCUCACUGGUCGAGUCGGCCUGCGCGGAAGAUGUAACGGGGCUAAACCAUGCACCGAAGCUGCGGCAGCGACACUCAGGUGUUGUUGGGUAGGGGAGCGUUCUGUAAGCCUGUGAAGGUGGCCUGUGAGGGUUGCUGGAGGUAUCAGAAGUGCGAAUGCUGACAUAAGUAACGAUAAAGCGGGUGAAAAGCCCGCUCGCCGGAAGACCAAGGGUUCCUGUCCAACGUUAAUCGGGGCAGGGUGAGUCGACCCCUAAGGCGAGGCCGAAAGGCGUAGUCGAUGGGAAACGGGUUAAUAUUCCCGUACUUGGUGUUACUGCGAA
rnacentral:rRNA from 4 species